rnacentral:rRNA from 1 species
GUUACCUACGGGGCGCAGCAGUAGGGAAUUUUCGUCAAUGGGCGCAAGCCUGAACGAGCGAUGCCGCGUGAGUGAAGAAGGCUUUCGGGUCGUAAAACCCUGUUGCGGGGGAAAAAAGGCAGCAUCAGGAAAUGGGUGCUGACUGAUGGUGCCCCGCCAGAAAGUCACGGCUAACUACGUGCCAGCAGCCGCGGUAAUACGUAGGUGGCGAGCGUUAUCCGGAAUGAUUGGGCGUAAAGGGUGCGCAGGCGGUCCUGCAAGCUUGGAGUGAAACGCAUGGGCUCAACUCAUGCUUGGCUUUGGAA